rnacentral:misc_RNA from 1 species
GACUACGUGCAAUGUGUAAAGAGGAAGUCAUUGCCUGAUAUAUCCCAGGAGAAAUUAGCCACAUUGAAGGGCUCCUUAUCAUUUUCUCAAAUUUCGAAUUUGACUGUGCGAGGGAAGAAUGAGGGCUUUGGUGAUGUAGUUGAUCUUGAGAAAGUGGAAAUGCCGCCGUUGGGAUUUGUCGAGGAGAUAGCCAGGGCAAUGAGGCGGGAAACGGGGCUUAAUUUGUUC